AGUUCAAUUCCCAGCACCCACAUGGUAGCUAACAACCAUCUGCAACUCCAGUUCCAGAGGAUCUGAUGCCUUCUUCAGAUCUCCACUAGCACCAGAAAUGCACGUGGGUACACGACCCUCAUGGAUAAAGUUAGAGGAAAAUCUUGAAGAUUGAGGGGAAAAAUAAGUUUUGAAUACAUACUAUCUGCCAACCUGUGUAUGUAGCACGUGCUUAUUGCUGGCGUUCCCUACAACCCUCCCAUGGAACACCAUCUGCCUCCUAGAUGUGUAAAUAAAUGGAGUCCAGAGUUGUCAGGAUUUCAGCCCAGGACAGAAUUCCAGAAAAG
rnacentral:lncRNA from 1 species